GGAAAGGCUAGCAUGGACAAGAAGAGCACUCCCUGCUUCUAGUGAGCAAAGGCAGCCCCCCUUGAGCUUCUAUAGCCCUUCUUAUUUAUUGGGUAACAAGAGCAAGGAGGAGGAGAGUUCUGCAAGGAGAUUGGAAGAAAAUGUGAGGACUGAGCCCAUAAGAAUAUUUUUCUUUCUGUUUUUAUCAGGGGGCAUUUUGACUAUCAGCAUUUUUAUUUACUUGCUCUGGCUUUGGCAUGAUUUGCUAUUGGAGAGAUAUAACAGUAUUGUUUUUCUUCUGAUGGAGACAAAAUAUUCAUUUAUAAUCCUGCCGCCCUGCCGCACCCCGCCCCCUUCUGCCACCACCAAGUGAUCAUCCAGCUGACACUUGAGGAACUUUGAUGAUGAGGAGUUCAUCAGUCAUUGGUCAGACUAUUAAAUCUUUCCACAGCUUAGAUGCAUGGGUUCAGGAGGAAAGAAAUGCAAAGGAAGAGGUGCAUCUC
rnacentral:lncRNA from 1 species